UAUGGCUCAGGAUGAACGCUAGCUACAGGCUUAACACAUGCAAGUCGAGGGGAAACGACAUCGAAAGCUUGCUUUUGAUGGGCGUCGACCGGCGCACGGGUGAGUAACGCGUAUCCAACCUGCCCACCACUUGGGGAUAACCUUGCGAAAGUAAGACUAAUACCCAAUGACGUCUCUAGAAGACAUCUGAAAGAGAUUAAAGAUUUAUCGGUGAUGGAUGGGGAUGCGUCUGAUUAGCUUGUUGGCGGGGUAACGGCCCACCAAGGCAACGAUCAGUAGGGGUUCUGAGAGGAAGGUCCCCCACAUUGGAACUGAGACACGGUCCAAACUCCUACGGGAGGCAGCAGUGAGGAAUAUUGGUCAAUGGACGAGAGUCUGAACCAGCCAAGUAGCGUGCAGGAUGACGGCCCUAUGGGUUGUAAACUGCUUUUAUAAGGGAAUAAAGUGAGUCUCGUGAGACUUUUUGCAUGUACCUUAUGAAUAAGGACCGGCUAAUUCCGUGCCAGCAGCCGCGGUAAUACGGAAGGUCCGGGCGUUAUCCGGAUUUAUUGGGUUUAAAGGGAGCGUAGGCCGGAGAUUAAGCGUGUUGUGAAAUGUAGACGCUCAACGUCUGCACUGCAGCGCGAACUGGUUUCCUUGAGUACGCACAAAGUGGGCGGAAUUCGUGGUGUAGCGGUGAAAUGCUUAGAUAUCACGAAGAACUCCGAUUGCGAAGGCAGCUCACUGGAGCGCAACUGACGCUGAAGCUCGAAAGUGCGGGUAUCGAACAGGAUUAGAUACCCUGGUAGUCCGCACGGUAAACGAUGGAUGCCCGCUGUUGGUCUGAAUAGGUCAGCGGCCAAGCGAAAGCAUUAAGCAUCCCACCUGGGGAGUACGCCGGCAACGGAGCAACUCAAAUGAAUUGACGGA
rnacentral:rRNA from 1 species